rnacentral:lncRNA from 1 species
AAAAAUGAAAGAUGAAAGAAGCUUAUGGAGAUGAGAUGUUGUCACGCCACUUGGAGGAUGAGAUACUCCAAGAUGAGUGGUGUAGAGCUGCCACUUGAAGUGUAGUGCACUCAAGAUAAGACCCAAGGAUAAUAGAAGACUCAACUCACUAAAAACUAUGACAGAGUUUCUUUACUUUCAAAAUUCAAUGUGUCCAAUACAUGAGGCAAGACACU